rnacentral:rRNA from 1 species
GAUGAACGCUAGCGGCAGGCUUAACACAUGCAAGUCGAGGGGUAAGGCUUACUUCGGUAAGUACACGACCGGCGCACGGGUGCGUAACGCGUAUGCAACCUACCUAUAACAGAGGGAUAGCCCCGGGAAAUCGGGAUUAAUACCUCAUAAUACUAACCAAUUGCAUGAUUUAGUUAGUUAAAGAUUUAUCGGUUAUAGAUGGGCAUGCGUAACAUUAGCUAGUUGGUAAGGUAACGGCUUACCAAGGCAACGAUGUUUAGGGGUUCUGAGAGGAAUGUCCCCCACACUGGUACUGAGACACGGACCAGACUCCUACGGGAGGCAGCAGUGAGGAAUAUUGGUCAAUGGACGGAAGUCUGAACCAGCCAUGCCGCGUGAAGGAAGACGGCCUUAUGGGUUGUAAACUUCUUUUAUAUAGGAAGAAUAACAUCUACGAGUAGAUGGUUGACGGUACUAUAUGAAUAAGCAUCGGCUAACUCCGUGCCAGCAGCCGCGGUAAUACGGAGGAUGCGAGCGUUAUCCGGAUUUAUUGGGUAUAAAGGGUGCGUAGGCUGAAAUAUAAGUCAGGGGUGAAAUCACUCGGCUCAACUGAGUACUUGCCUUUGAUACUGUAUAUCUUGAGUGUAAUUGAGGUAGGCGGAAUGUAGUAUGUAGCGGUGAAAUGCAUAGAUAUACUACAGAACACCGAUAGCGAAGGCAGCUUACCAAGUUACAACUGACGCUGAAGCACGAAAGCGUGGGGAGCGAACAGGAUUAGAUACCCUGGUAGUCCACGCCGUAAACUAUGAUCACUCGUUGUUGGCGAUACACAGUCAGUGGCCAAGCAAAUGCGAUAAGUGAUCCACCUGGGGAGUACGAUCGCAAGGUUGAAACUCAAAGGAAUUGACGGGGGCCCGCACAAGCGGAGGAGCAUGUGGUUUAAUUCGAUGAUACGCGAGGAACCUUACCUGGGCUUAAAUGUAUGUUGCAUAGAGUGGAAACACUCUUUUUCUACGGAACUAUAUACAAGGUGCUGCAUGGUUGUCGUCAGCUCGUGCCGUGAGGUGUCGGGUUAAGUCCCAUAACGAGCGCAACCCCUAUAUUUAGUUGCUAACAGGUUAUGCUGAGGACUCUGGAUAGACUGCCUACGCAAGUAGUGAGGAAGGUGGGGAUGACGUCAAAUCAGCACGGCCCUUAUGUCCAGGGCUACACACGUGCUACAAUGGUUGGUACAGAGGGCAGCGACUAUGUGAAUAGGAGCGAAUCUCAAAAGCCAAUCUCAGUCCGGAUUGGAGUCUGCAACUCGACUCCAUGAAAGUUGGAUUUCGCUAGUAAUCGCACCUCAGCCAUGGUGCGGUGAAUACGUUUCCCGGGCCU